rfam:Xylella fastidiosa 9a5c, complete genome.
CGGGGUAUAGCGCAGCCUGGUAGCGCACCAGUCUGGGGGACUGGUGGUCGUCGGUUCAAAUCCGGCUACCCCGA